UCCAGGUCCCCGAUGAAGUAGGUGCAUCCCAGGAGAGUGAGCAUUCUGAUGGACAAGGAGGAAGAUGGAAUCAUGCAUUGUGAUGGCUUGCGACUUCAGUUCACCAGACCUGCCUCGCCCAUUUCAAAACCUCUUCAACUGUAAAGGCUUCCUUGAUCUCCAACCACUCUGCAAACUUGUGAUUUCUGCUCCCCUAAUUCUCCACUUGAACUUGUGCUAAGACCCUUUUCUGCUGCCUUGGGUCUGACCAACAUGUGAUCCGUGAUCUGUACUCAAGUCAGCCCUCAGGCCUGCUGCAAAAUAAAACCCUGAUGUCGUCCAAUGAAGAAGAUGUAGCAAAUGAAGAAAAAAAAUAGAGUUUUAACAUUAAUCUGUAAUUUUUAUUGACAUCUUUUAAGAUCUAAGUCCUUCAAUAAAAUUACUCAAAUCCUUU